ACCACCAGGCAAACGACCAUUCAAACCUCACAACACAGACAAAAGAAAGAGUUUUAAAAAAUCAGGUGGAGAUGGAGGGCCGCAGAAAUUCUACAGAAAACCAGCAGAUGGACAGUUCACAAAGAAGAGAAAACACCCGGGAAGCAAAAAAGAUGAAGGCUCUGAAGGGAAGAAACCUAAAUAGGAUGAAUUCAAACAAAAAAAGAAAGAGUUGAAGCAGAAUCGCCAGCAGAAUGAGAAAAAAGAGAGUUACCAGAUUGUAAGCAGAGCAAAGCAAGUGUGGGAAAUUGUAAGGUGGUAAGACUGUGACAAGCAAAAAAGGACCAGACUGAUGAAAGAACUACAGAGACUUGUGAACGGAAAUAUUAAAACAAUUGCCUUUGCUCAUGAUUCCACCCGAGUGCUUCAGUGCUUUAUUCAGUUUGGCAGUGAUGAGCAGAGACAGGAGGUCUUCGAUGAAC